rnacentral:rRNA from 1 species
UACGGGGGGGGCAAGCGUUGUUCGGAAUUACUGGGCGUAAAGGGCUCGUAGGUGGCCAACUAAGUCAGACGUGAAAUCCCUCGGCUUAACCGGGGAACUGCGUCUGAUACUGGAUGGCUUGAGUUCGGGAGAGGGAUGCGGAAUUCCAGGUGUAGCGGUGAAAUGCGUAGAUAUCUGGAGGAACACCGGUGGCGAAGGCGGCAUCCUGGACCGACACUGACACUGAGGAGCGAAAGCCAGGGGAGCAAACGAG